rnacentral:rRNA from 1 species
UUUCCUACGGGAGGCAGCAGUGGGGAAUAUUGGGCAAUGGACGCAAGUCUGACCCAGCAACGCCGCGUGAAGGAAGAAGGCUUUCGGGUUGUAAACUUCUUUUAAGGGGGAAGAGCAGAAGACGGUACCCCUUGAAUAAGCCACGGCUAACUACGUGCCAGCAGCCGCGGUAAUACGUAGGUGGCAAGCGUUGUCCGGAUUUACUGGGUGUAAAGGGCGUGCAGCCGGAGAGACAAGUCAGAUGUGAAAUCCGCAGGCUCAACCUGCGAACUGCAUUUGAAACUGUUUCCCUUGAGUAUCGGAGG